rnacentral:rRNA from 1 species
AAUAGAUACCCAGGUAGUCCACGCCGUAAACGAUGAGUGCUAAGUGUUAGAGGGUUUCCCGCCCUUUAGUGCUGCAGCUAACGCAUUAAGCACUCCGCCUGGGGAGUACGGUCGCAAGACUGAAACUCAAAGGAAUUGACGGGGGCCCGCACAAGCGGUGGAGCAUGUGGUUUAAUUCGAAGCAACGCGAAGAACCUUACCAGGUCUUGACAUCCUCUGACAACUCUAGAGAUAGAGCGUUCCCCUUCGGGGGACAGAGUGACAGGUGGUGCAUGGUUGUCGUCAGCUCGUGUCGUGAGAUGUUGGGUUAAGUCCCGCAACGAGCGCAACCCUUGAUCUUAGUUGCCAGCAUUUAGUUGGGCACUCUAAGGUGACUGCCGGUGACAAACCGGAGGAAGGUGGGGAUGACGUCAAAUCAUCAUGCCCCUUAUGACCUGGGCUACACACGUGCUACAAUGGAUGGUACAAAGGGCUGCAAGACCGCGAGGUCAAGCCAAUCCCAUAAAACCAUUCUCAGUUCGGAUUGU